rnacentral:rRNA from 1 species
AAAUUGAAGAGUUUGAUCAUGGCUCAGAUUGAACGCUGGCGGCAGGCCUAACACAUGCAAGUCGAACGGUAACAGGAAGCAGCUUGCUGUUUUGCUGACGAGUGGCGGACGGGUGAGUAAUGUCUGGGAAACUGCCUGAUGGAGGGGGAUAACUACUGGAAACGGUGGCUAAUACCGCAUAACGUCGCAAGACCAAAGAGGGGGACCUUCGGGCCUCUUGCCAUCAGAUGUGCCCAGAUGGGAUUAGCUUGUUGGUGAGGUAACGGCUCACCAAGGCGACGAUCCCUAGCUGGUCUGAGAGGAUGACCAGCCACACUGGAACUGAGACACGGUCCAGACUCCUACGGGAGGCAGCAGUGGGGAAUAUUGCACAAUGGGCGCAAGCCUGAUGCAGCCAUGCCGCGUGUAUGAAGAAGGCCUUCGGGUUGUAAAGUACUUUCAGCGGGGAGGAAGGUGUUGUGGUUAAUAACCGCAGCAAUUGACGUUACCCGC